rnacentral:rRNA from 1 species
UACGAAGGGAGCUAGCGUUGCUCGGAAUCACUGGGCGUAAAGGGUGCGUAGGCGGGUCUUUAAGUCAGGGGUGAAAUCCUGGAGCUCAACUCCAGAACUGCCUUUGAUACUGAGGAUCUUGAGUUCGGGAGAGGUGAGUGGAACUGCGAGUGUAGAGGUGAAAUUCGUAGAUAUUCGCAAGAACACCAGUGGCGAAGGCGGCUCACUGGCCCGAUACUGACGCUGAGGUGCGAAAGCGUGGGGAGCAAACAGG